CCCUCUAGCCAGUUACUCGCUCAACCCAACAAAAAUUCGAAGAAAAAAAAACUCAGAAGGAACAGUCGUUUAUAUAGACAGGCACAGAAAGAAAAAUAUCGUUGAUUGUCUUGAUUGUUUGGAAGCGGGCGCGGUAGGUAAUUUCAUUAACAUGUAAUUUCAUCUAUGCAACAUUUUAAAGAGAGAUGAAUAAACAGCCCUCACGAACGCCGGCUAUUAUUAACGGCAACUUUGAUUGCUUGAGCAAAAUCAGCAGGUUGCUGGUGAGCUGAAAAUCGGUGGGGCACAAAACUUUCCUUUAAACUAAUCAUUGAUCUCAACCAGUUUUCAAUAGUAAUUUUCCUUUAUAAUCAAAAGCAUGCCAACGAUCGGAUUAAUCAAAUGGCAAGUAGCCUAACAUACAGCGUCUUCUCACUGUGUUUGAGGGAUUAAAUGAUAAAUUCAAUUCAUCCGUUAAAAAUCGGUUUUAAUCACCAAGUAGUCUACACUUAACAAACAAGAUACACCAGUAUGCUAUCUACCGUGUUAGUUUUCAGAAUAACCCAGGAAAAAUAAAACCUGCAUUUCAGUUUUGUUUACAAUCUACGCAUUGCAGAUAUUUGCCAUGAAUACGAGUGCGGAGAAAGAAAUGCAUGUAUCUGCAAACAAAAUGUGCACAAUUUCGUAUUGCAAAUGAAAAUAAAUGUAGGCUAUAAGGCCUAGGCUACUCGCUAAAACUGCCUAUUUGGGGGAGAGCUGGCUAUAUAUGAUAGUAUUGAGUAGGCCUAGCCUAUUUUGUGGAUUAAUUGUAUUGAUACUCAAUGAAAAUCCACUGCUUAGUGAUUAAAACAGAUUUUUCUAAAUCGCAUUUAUCAUUUAAUCUCCCUAACACAAUGCGAAGAAGCUGUGUCCCUUUCCAAUUGAUUAGUCAGAUGUUUGUAUGCUUGUUAAUCACUGAAAAUUAAUUAAAACAGUUUGAGAUCAAUGAUUAGUUUAAAGGAUUGUUUUGCGCCUCACCAGUUUAAGAAAGAUGGAUAAAGGAGGAAGAAAGUGAGGACAAGAGGUGGAUGACCGAUUAUUUUCGUGGGUAAAAAAGAAUUCUCAGCAUUAAUGACACUCAAUAAACUUGAAAUAUAUUAUGUAAAAGCUUGCAUCAAUAGUAUACAUUCUUUUUAAAACAUUGUUUUCCUUAAUUACAAAUAUGUGCACAAUACAUUAAGGAUACACCUGUUUUGAGCAGA